CUACACUUUUAAUAAUAAAAGUUGGUUCAACUGUUCUAUUUUUUCAGUGUAGGAAUGGAAUUGCCUUUAUUUGAAAUCAUUUAGAUCAUUUAAAACAUGAAACUUUUAGUUUUAACACACACAUUUUAGGGAACUUGAUGAAAAAAUCUUACAAAAGAACAUGUAUUCGGUCAGGUGGUCGUCAAAGAUGAUUUCCAUAUAUUACUGAAUGUACUUCUCAAAAUAGACCAUUAGGGGAAAAAAAUCCUUUAUAAUGGAACAUUUUUCUUCUUUACACCAUGUGGUGAACAAUAAUGCAUUUUUUUUUUCUCACCAAUGAAUGGAUGUGUUUUAAAAAUCUUGAUUACUUUAUUACACUGUUGACUGCUCAUUCUCUGUAUUUACCGCCGUGUCUGUUCGCUGUUAUUGCCUGUCUUUUAAUAUUCACAUUCACUCAACCCAAAAAUAAAAUGUCUUGGUUCCUAAA